rnacentral:tRNA from 1 species
GGCUCAGUGGUAGAGCACUUGCCUUGCAUGCAUGAAGCCCUGGGUUCAAGCUCCAG